CGUGUAGGCGGCCAGACAGGUCCGUUGUGAAAACUAGAGGCUUAACCUCUAGACGUCGAUGGAAACCGUCUGGCUAGAGUCCGGAAGAGGAGAAUGGAAUUCCUGGUGUAGCGGUGAAAUGCGCAGAUAUCAGGAAGAACACCCGUGGCUAAGGCGGUUCUCUAGUACGGUACUGACGCUGAGACGCGAAAGCGUGGGAGCGAACA
rnacentral:rRNA from 1 species